GACGAACCGUGCGAACGUUGUUCGGAAUCACUGGGCUUAAAGCGUGUGUAGGCGGACUUCUAAGUACCUUGUGAAAUCCCACGGCUUACCCGUGGAACGGCUGGGUAUACUGGUUGUCUUGAGCCACUUAGGGGCUACCGGAACAAAUGGUGGAGCGGUGAAAUGCGUAGAUAUCAUUUGGAACGCCAAUGGUGAAAACAGGUAGCUGGGAGUGUGCUGACGCUGAGACACGAAAGCCAGGGGAGCGAACGGG
rnacentral:rRNA from 1 species